GGAUGGGUGGCCGAGCGGUUUAAGGCACCGGUCUUGAAAACCGGCGUGCGUGCAAGCGCACCGUGGGUUCGAAUCCCACCCCCUCCGCCA
rnacentral:tRNA from 1 species